GCCUGUGGCGCAGUGGUAGCGCAGAGGACUCAUAAUCCUUUGGUCGCGGGUUCGAAUCCCUCCG
rnacentral:tRNA from 1 species